AGCAGCCGCGGUAAUUCCAGCUCCAAUAGCGUAUAUUAAAGUUGUUGCAGUUAAAAAGCUCGUAGUUGAAUUUCGGAAUCAAUAUGUUGGUCGUGCCUUGGUACGUACUAGCAUUAUUGGUUUCUACCUUCUGAAGAACCUCGAUGUCAUUAAUUUGGUGUCUUGGGGAAUCAGGACUGUUACUUUGAAAAAAUUAGAGUGUUUAAAGCAGGCUCACGCUUGAAUACAUUAGCAUGGAAUAAUGAAAUAGGACGUUUGAUUCUAUUUUGUUGGUUUCUAGGAUCGACGUAAUGAUUAAUAGGGAUAGUUGGGGGCAUUAGUAUUCAAUUGUCAGAGGUGAAAUUCUUGGAUUUAUUGAAGACUAACUACUGCGAAAGCAUUUGCCAAGGAUGUUUUCAUUAAUCAAGAACGAAAGUUAGGGGAUCGAAGACGAUCAGAUACCGUCGUAGUCUUAACCAUAAACUAUGCCGACUAGGGAUCGGAUGAUGUUAAUUUUUUAAUGACUCAUUCGGCGCCUUACG
rnacentral:rRNA from 1 species